GAUGAACGCUGGCGGCGUGCCUAAUACAUGCAAGUCGAGCGAACAGACGAGGAGCUUGCUCCUCUGACGUUAGCGGCGGACGGGUGAGUAACACGUGGAUAACCUACCUAUAAGACUGGGAUAACUUCGGGAAACCGGAGCUAAUACCGGAUAACAUGUUGAACCGCAUGGUUUAACAGUGAAAGACGGUCUUGCUGUCACUUAUAGAUGGAUCCGCGCCGCAUUAGCUAGUUGGUAAGGUAACGGCUUACCAAGGCAACGAUGCGUAGCCGACCUGAGAGGGUGAUCGGCCACACUGGAACUGAGACACGGUCCAGACUCCUACGGGGGGCAGCAGUAGGGAAUCUUUCGCAAUGGGCAAAAGCCUGACGGAGCAACGCCGCGUGAGUGAAGAAGGUCUUCGGAUCGUAAAACUCUGUUAUUAGGGAAGAACAAAUGUGUAAGUAACUAUGCACGUCUUGACGGUACCUAAUCAGAAAGCCACGGCUAACUACGUG
rnacentral:rRNA from 1 species